CUUUUUUUUUGUAUAUAUCGUAAUAUUGUAAUCGAGUAUUCUGUAAUUUUGAAAGAUUAACAUAUAAUAAACAAUCAAAUAAAUACGGAUCGCAACAGAUAUAUAAUUAGGUCUACCAUGAAAAUUAUAUUUUGCUUAGAACUUUGCUGUUAAUUGGGAUAGAUUCUAAAUCUCUAACAAUGCUGAAAAAAUAAUAUUAAUAGAUGAUGCUUCAGAUCAAUGGUACUGGCUGCUACUUCACAAACGAUUUUUUUUUAUAAAAGUAGUCUGCUUCUCAGAUUUAAAAUUUAGAAAACAAAAUGGUAAUUUAGUUAUAUUUUUGUCAGCCAAAGCAGACUAUUUAAAAAAAAAAAUUUUUUUUUUGUAAUGUAAUAUUUCUCAACAUUAAUAUUAAUAACUUCCUUUUCAA